GUGGGGAAUAUUGGACAAUGGGCGAAAGCCUGAUCCAGCCAUGCCGCGUGUGUGAAGAAGGUCUUCGGAUUGUAAAGCACUUUAAGUUGGGAGGAAGGGCAGUAAGUUAAUACCUUGCUGUUUUGACGUUACCAACAGAAUAAGCACCGGCUAACUUCGUGCCAGCAGCCGCGGUAAUACGAAGGGUGCAAGCGUUAAUCGGAAUUACUGGGCGUAAAGCGCGCGUAGGUGGUUCAGCAAGUUGAAGGUGAAAUCCCCGGGCUCAACCUGGGAACUGCCUCCAAAACGACUGGGCUAGAGUACGGUAGAGGGUAGUGGAAUUUCCUGUGUAGCGGUGAAAUGCGUAGAUAUAGGAAGGAACACCAGUGGCGAAGGCGACUACCUGGACUGAUACUGACACUGAGGUGCGAAAGCGUGGGGAGCAAACAGGAUUAGAAACCCGGGUAGUCC
rnacentral:rRNA from 1 species